rnacentral:lncRNA from 1 species
GGCCUCUUUUCCAGGAUUCCAGGACAGGGUUCUUUCUAAUAGGUUACCCCAGUAUGAUCUGGAAUUUUAAAAAGAAGUAAAAGCAGUUGAAGACCACCCACUUGCUAUAAUUUGAAAGGCUUGUUCUCCCCUCCCUUCAUCUCUUUGAAUCCUGCUUCACAGACAUUGUUGUCUUUGGGACCAAUACAUUUCUUCUAUCUGCAUAUCUGGGUAGAAGCUCUCAUGGAAGAAAAAAGAAAAGCCCCAUAGGUGAAGGGGAGUGUGCCUGCCAAGUUCCUUGUAAUAACUUCACACGCAGAGUAUUUUCUGAAAUGGAUCUGCUAGAGUCAUCUCAUGGAAUCUUCUCAUUCUUCUGGAGUCUCCUCAUUUUACAGGAAAAACAUCCAGGCAAGUGGACAGCAUUUGCAACAGCCCAGCAAUAAGAAGGACCAUAUUCUACUUGGGAAAAGGUAAAGUCGUUUCAUAUGGACGGAGCCUGCCAGGAAACCUGUCAUUCAACCCUUUGCAAUAAAACAGCUCCUCAUGAAUGAAGCAAAAUAAAUCAGAAGUUGUGGGCUUUUAAACUCACUAAAUGAAAGCACAGCAUGCAUGCAGCCUCCCUCCAAAUUAAUCACCAGAUUAAAUGCAAGAUGUGCACACCAAAUCAAUAGCUUGUGACGGGGACCUCCUGCCUGUGCUUCAGGAAAAUUCCAUUUCCUUUCAGAUGUUGUCGCUUGAAAUGUCAGGAAGUUUCCAUUCAUCACCCGCCCUUGAAAAUGCCACCAUCACCAUACUUCAUGUUUCCUUGCUUUCUUUCUUCAGAGGAAUCCAAGCACCUUGCAGAGGGAGCCCACUCCUUGUCACAG